rnacentral:pre_miRNA from 7 species
CUCUGAGGAGUAGACUCCUUGAUGCUUCCCUGGCAUGGUAGGACCCCCGAUAUGGGGACCACCACUCUAGUCCAGGGAUAGGGUGCACCCAGGAACACACAAGAAUCC